rnacentral:lncRNA from 1 species
UCCCGGCCCGGGGGCUUUGGCCGCAGAGCUCGCGGGUUCUGCAGUCUGGACUCGCAUGGGGAGAUCGCGAUGUUCUCCUCCCAGGCCGGCGGCCGGCCGCGAACGUGGGAGGCUAGUCCCUCAGAGCACAAGAAGUGGGUGGAAGUAUUUAGAGCAUGCGAUGAAGAUAACAAAGGCUAUCUAAGCAGAGAGGACUUUAAAGUUGCUGUUGUAAUGCUGUUUGGUUACAAGCCAUCCAAGAUAGAAGCUGAUUCUGUGAUGUCUUCAGUAGAUCCAAACACUUCUGGGAUACAACUUAAGGAGUUUUUAGACAUCGUAAGGAAAAAGAAGGAAGCUCAACUGUAUCGCAAUGAAGUAAGACACAUCUUCACAGCUUUUGACAGGCACUAUCGUGGAUAUUUAACUCUGGAAGAUUUCAAGAAAGCAUUUAAGCAGGUGGCUCCCAAGUUAUCAGAAAGGAUUAUCCUCGAGGUAUUCAGGGAAGUCGAUCAAGACUCAGAUGGUCAUGUCAGCUUUAAAGACUUCGAAUAUGCCAUGAACUCUGGACAAAAGCAAGCCUAAUUACGGUGUACUGCUUGUAUGCAACUUCUGGGGAGACCAGAAUAGAGGGUGAUGUAAAGAGAUGUCAGAUUGCACCCUAGCGAUGGUGUCAUACUCCAUACCUUCCAUUAAACUCUUUAUAUGGUCUUCAGA